AAAUAUAUUAGCUCAUUACUGUCGAAUUGUAAAAUUCGAGACAACAGAAAAACGUAAGUAUCAAUAAUAUUAAACUUUUUUUUAAAUUUAUUUAUUAUUUGUUAUUUGUUAUUAUUCUUUUCUGUUUCAAUACCUUCUCUAAAUUUUAUUCUUUGCUUUUUUAGCAAGCCAUUACCAAAUCCCAUAUAACUAUAAGGAAAGUAAUAUGUUUCGUUUUCGUAUCUGAAGGAGUUGCGAAACAUUUUUAUUAACAAUGUCCUUUCUAUUAAGUGGACACGACUGCCGAUUCAUUUAUGCUCAGGAAAUACAAAUUGAAAAGUAGAUGAAAACCAGCUGAAGGAGGUCUUUUCUAUCAAGUGGACAUGGUUAAAAAAUUUCUAUUAACAUCAUCAUGUUACAUAUAAAUAAUCUACCGUUUUUUAUAAUUGGGCAGGAUUUCUAAAUCAGCUCAACUAAAAUAAGAAAAUUUAAUUUGCAAUAUCGCUUCUCUACUUCUAAUGUGAUCGAAGAAAUAAGUUUGUGAAAUGUAGAACCCAGAAAAUCG